GAAAUGCGAUAAGUAAUGUGAAUUGCAGAAUUCAGUGAAUCAUCGAAUCUUUGAACGCACAUUGCGCCCGCCAGUAUUCUGGCGGGCAUGCCUGUCCGAGCGUCAUUUCAACCAUCAAGCCCCCGGGCUUGUGUUGAGGACCUGCGGCUGCCCGCAGGCCCUGAAAACCAGUGGCGGGCUCGCUGUCACACCGAGCGUAGUAGCAAUCACCUCGCUCAGGGCGUGCUGCGGGUUCCGGCCGUUAAACAGCCUUACAAAACCCAAGGUUGACCUCGGAUCAGGUAGGAAGACCCGCUGAACUUAAGC
rnacentral:misc_RNA from 1 species